AUUGAACGCUGGCGGCAGGCCUAACACAUGCAAGUCGAACGAGUGGCGGACGGGUGAGUAAUGUCUGGGAAACUGCCUGAUGGAGGGGGAUAACUACUGGAAACGGUAGCUAAUACCGCAUACCAUCAGAUGUGCCCAGAUGGGAUUAGCUAGUUGGUGGGGUAACGGCGCACCAAGGCGGCGAUCCCUAGCUGGUCUGAGAGGAUGACCAGCAACACUGGAACUGCGAAACGGUCCAGACGCCUCCGGGAGGCAGCAGUGGGGAAUAUUGCACAAUGGGCGAAAGCCUGAUGCAGCCAUGCCGCGUGUAGGAAGAAGGCCUUCGGGUUGUAAAGUACUUUCAGCGGGGAGGCGUUACCCGCAGAAGAAGCACCGGCUAACUCCGUGCCAGCCGCCGCGGUAAUUC
rnacentral:rRNA from 1 species